rnacentral:rRNA from 3 species
GGAGGCAGCAGUGGGGAAUAUUGCACAAUGGGCGCAAGCCUGAUGCAGCCAUGCCGCGUGUAUGAAGAAGGCCUUCGGGUUGUAAAGUACUUUCAGCGGGGAGGAAGGGAGUAAAGUUAAUACCUUUACUCAUUGACGUUACCCGCAGAAGAAGCACCGGCUAACUCCGUGCCAGCAGCCGCGGUAAUACGGAGGGUGCAAGCGUUAAUCGGAAUUACUGGGCGUAAAGCGCACGCAGGCGGUUUGUUAAGUCAG